UGUGAGCCACUGUACUCAUUCCUAUCUGUGGUUUUAAUAUCAGGGAAAUACUAUCUUCAUAAAAUGAAUUGGAAAGUGUUCCCUCCUCUUCUAUUUUCUGAAAGAGAAUGUAGAGAGAUGGUGUGAAUUCCUCUUUAAACAUUUGGUAGAAUUCUUCAGUGAAACCAUCUGGAUCUGGAGACUUCUUUUUUGGGAGUUUUAAAAUUGCAAAUUCGAUUUCCUUAACAGUUGUAGGCAUACUCAAAUUAUCUAGUUCACAUUGGGUGAGUUGUAGUCAUUUGUAUUUUUCAAGGAAUCGGUCCUUUUUAACUAAGUUGUCAAAUGAAUGUGUGUUCUCACUAGCUUUAAAAAAUUCUCUUCCCUCCAUUAGUUUCUCUCACAUUGAAAUGAGAUGCUGAUUCCUCCACAUGCCUUCCCUCCCUCCAGAUCAAUGACAAAACGCAUUCUCCUGUGCCCUAAUCCAGGACAGCAUUCUUGACAGGCAGAGCCCAGGAUGGGGCAGUCCCGAUGUAAACCCACAGUUUCGAGGAACCAGUUGGCCUUGGACCUCUCUGAAGAGCUCUGGAACCAGAAGGGGCUGGCGGUCCUCUAAGUCACCUUAGCCUACCUGGAGAGACCUCCGAGGCGGGAGAUGCAUAAUCAAAUAUAUAAGUAAAAAUUGACAUUUCCUUUGAGAACUACUUGGACAGUGACCUGAACAUCUCAAGAAAAACCUUGGUGGAAUUGCAUGAACCUGAUUUGGGUCAAAAUUAAGCACCACGCUGAAAAUCAUGCCUUUGUGAAAUGACAAAUUGAAAGUGUUCAGAAAUUGCAUUUGAACUAGUUGAGAUCCUGAUACAGGUUAGUGGUUCUUUACCUUACCAUUUGAUGAAGGGGUGACAUUGAUGAUUCAAGCAUUUUAGCAAGCUUUAUUUGCUCUAUCUGUAAUGAAAAUGUAAUAAUAGUAACAUUUCAUUGGUUCUAAGCUGCAAUUCUACGGCCCCCCACCCCCUAACCCACAUACAUUUUUAGCAGCUGUGUAAUUAGGAUGGGUCUUAAGAUCAGUGUCUUACAGUCAUUGACACAAGGUCAUAACAUGGUUGUCAUUGCCGACACCUUCUGGUGAGAUCCAGAAAGACCCGGGAACAAAAUUUGCAGAAUGAGUGAGUGUCAGCAGCCUGGGAGAAACCUCUGAGACCUCACCAUAGCAUCUUUGUAAGAACUGCUUCCUCAUCAACGCUCUUGAUGGCAAAGGGUGAUUUUGUAUUGAAAGAUACACACAAUGACAAGAUUGAGCUGAAAAUCACAAACAAGAUUUAGACUCUCUGAAAAAGUUUGGGAAUAACUUAACCAACCUUUUUCACUUGUUUUCCUAUUUUGAGUGCCCAAGGGUGACACAUGAGAUGUCUAAAUAAGUCUAAAAAAUUACUUUCAAUAAGUCUUUUUUAAAAAUUAUUAUACUUUAAGUUUUAGGGUACAUGUGCACAAUGUGCAGGUUUGUUACAUAUGUAUGCAUGUGCCAUGUUGGUGUGCUGCACCCAUUAACUUGUCAUUUACAUUAGGUAUAUCUCCUAAUGCUGUCCCUCCCCCCUACCCCCACCCCACAACAGGCCCCGGUGUGUGAUGUUCCCCCUCCCGUGUCCAUGUGUUCUCAUUGUUCAGUUCCCACCUAUGAGUGAGAACAUGCAGUGUUUGGUUUUUUGUCCUUGCGAUAGUUUGCUGAGAAUGAUGGUUUCCAGCUUCAUCCAUGUCCCUACAAAGGACAUGAACUCAUCAUUUUUUAUGACUCCAUAGUAUUCCAUGGUGUAUAUGUGCCACAUUUUCUUAAUCCAGUCUAUCAUUGAUGGACAUUUGGGUUGGUUCCAAGUCUUUGCUAUUGCAAAUAGUGCUGUAAUAAACAUACGUGUGCAUGUGUCUUUAUAGCAGCAUGUUUUAUAAUCCUUUGGGUAUAUACCCAGUAAUGGGAUGGCUGGGUCAAGUGGUAUUUCUAGUUCUAGAUCCCUGAGGAAUCACCACACUGACCUCCACAAUGGUUGAACUAGUUUACAGUCCCACCAACAGUGUAAAAGUGUUCCUAUUUCUCCACAUCCUCUCCAGCACCUGUUGUUUCCUGACUUUUUAAUGAUCGCCAUUCUAACUGGUGUGAGAUGGUAUCUCACUGUGGUUUUGAUUUGCAUUUCUCUGCUGGCCAGUGAUGAUGAGCAUUUUUUCAUGUGUCUUUUGGCUGCAUAAAUGUCUUCUUUUGAGAAGUGUCUGUUCAUAUCCUUCGCCCACUUGUUGACGGGGUUGUUUUUUUCUUGUAAAUUUUUUGGAGUUCAUUGUAGAUUCUGGCUAUUAGCCCUUUGUCAGAUGAGUAGAUUGCAAAAAUUUUCUCCCAUUCUGUAGGUUGCCUGUUCACACUGAUGGUAGUUUCUUUUGCUGUGCAGAAGCUCUUUAGUUUCAUUAGAUUCCAUUUGUCAAUUUUGGCUUUUGUUGCCAUUGCUUUUGGUGUUUUAGACAUGAAGUCCUUGCUCAAGCCUAUGUCCUGAAUGGUAUUGCCUAGGUUUUCUUCUAGGGUUUUUAUGGUUUUAGGUCUAACAUUUAAGUCUUUAAUCCAUCUUGAAUUAAUUUUUGUAUAAGGUGUUAAGGAAGGGGUCCAGUUUUAGCUUUCUACAUAUGGCUAGCCAGUUUUCCCAGCACCAUUUAUUAAAUAGGGAAUCCUUUCCCCAUUUCUUGUUUUUGUCAGGUUUGUCAAAGAUCAGAUAGUUGUAGAUAUGCGGCAUUAUUUCUGAGGGCUCCAUUCUGUUCCAUUGGUCUAUAUAUCUGUUUUGGUACCAGCACCAUGCUGUUUUGGUUACUGUAGCCUUAUAGUAUAGUUUGAAGUCAGGUAGCAUGAUGCCUCCAGCUUUGUUCUUUUGGCUUAGGAUUGACUUGGCAAUGCGGGCUCUUUUUUGGUUCCAUAUGAACUUUAAAGUAGUUUUUUCCAAUUCUGUGAAGAAAGUCAUUGGUAGCUUGAUGGGGAUGGCACUGAAUCUAUAAAUUACCUUGGGCAGUAUGGCCAUUUUCAUGAUAUUGAUUCUUCCUACCCAUGAGCAUGGAACGUUCUUCCAUUUGUUUGUAUCCUCUUUUAUUUCAUUGAGCAGUGGUUUGUAGUUCUCCUUGAAGAGGUCCUUCACGUCCCUUGUAAGUUGGAUUCCUAGGUAUUUUAUUCUGUUUGAAGCAGUUGUGAAUGGGAGUUCACUCAUGAUUUGGCUCUCUGUUUGUCUGUUAUUGGUGUAUAAGAAUGCCUGUGAUUUUUGCACAUUGAUUUUGUAUCCUGAGACUUUGCUGAAGUUCCUAUCAGCUUAAGGAGAUUUUGGGCUGAGACGAUGGGGUUUUCUAGAUAUACAAUCAUGUCAUCUGCAAACAGGGACAAUUUGACUUCCUCUUUUCCUAAUUGAAUACCCUUUAUUUCCUUCUCCUGCCUGAUUGCCCUGGCCAGAACUUCCAACACUAUGUUGAAUAGGAGUGGUGAGAGAGGGCAUCCCUGUCUUGUGCCAGUUUUCAAAGGGAAUGCUUCCAGUUUUUGCCCAUUCGGUAUGAUAUUGGCUGUGGGUUUGUCAUAGAUAGCUCCUAUUAUUUUGAGAUAUGUCCCAUCAAUAGCCAAUUUAUUGAGAGUUUUUAGCAUGAAGCAUUGUUGAAUUUUGUCAAAGGCCUUUUCUGCAUCUAUUGAGAUAAUCAUGUGGUUUUUGUCGUUGGUUCUGUUUAUAUGCUGGAUUAUGUUUAUUGAUUUGUGUAUGUUGAACCAGCCUUGCAUCCCAGGGAUGAAGCCCACUUGAUCAUGGUGGAUAAGCUUUUUGAUGUGCUGCUGGAUUCAGUUUGCCAGUAUUUUACUGAGGAUUUUUGCAUCGAUGUUCAUCAGGGAUAUUGGUCUAAAAUUCUCUUUUUUUUGUUGUGUCUCUGCCAGGCUUUGGUAUCAGGAUGAUGCUGGCCUCAUAAAAUGAGUUAGGGAGGAUUCCCUCUUUUUCUAUUGAUUGGAAUAGUUUCAGAAGGAAUGGUACCAGCUCCUCCUUGUACCUCUGGUAGAAUUUGGCUGUGAAUCCAUCUGGUCCUGGACUUUUUUUGGUUGGUAAGCUAUUAAUUAUUGCCUCAAUUUCAGAGCCUGUUAUUGGUCUAUUCAGAGAUUCAACUUCUUCCUGGUUUAGUCUUGGGAGGGUGUAUGUGUCGAGGAAUUUAUCCAUUUCUUCUAGAUUUUCUGGUUUAUUUGUGUAGAGGUGUUUAUAGUAUUCUCUGAUGGUAGUUUGUAUUUCUGUGGGAUUGGUGGUGAUAUCCCCUUUAUCAUUUUUUAUUGCGUCUAUUUGAUUCUUCUCUCUUUUCUUCUUUAUUAGUCUUGCUAGCGGUCCAUCAAUUUUGUUGAUCUUUUCAAAAAACCAGCUCCUGGAUCCAUUGAUUUUUUGAAUGGUUUUUUGUGUCUCUAGCUCUUCCAUUUCUGCUCUGAUCUUAGUUAUUUCUUGCCUUCUGCUAGCUUUUGAAUGUGUUUGCUCUUGCUUCUCUAGUUCUUUUAAUUGUGAUGUUAGGGUGUCAAUUUUAGAUCUUUCCUGCUUUCUCUUGUGGGCAUUUAGUGCUAUAAAUUUCCCUCUACACACUGCUUUUAAUGUGUCCCAGAGAUUCUGGUAUGUUGUGUCUUUGUUCUCUUUGGUUUCAAAGAACAUCUUUAUUUCUGCCUUCAUUUUGUUAUGUACACAGUAGUCAUCCAGGAGCAGGUUGUUCAGUUUCCAUGUAGUUGAGCAGUUUUGAGUGAGUUUCUUAAUCCUGUGUUCUAGUUUGAUUGCACUGUGGUCUGAGAGACAGUUUGUUAUAAUUUCUAUUCUUUUACAUUUGCUGAGGAGUGCUUUACUUCCAAAUAUGUGGUCAAUUUUGGAAUAGGUGUAGUGUGUGCUGAAAAGAAUGUAUAUUCUGUUGAUUUGGGGUGGAGAGUUCUGUAGAUGUCUAUUAGGUCUGCUUGGUGCAGAGCUGAGUUCAGUUCCUGGGUAUCCUUGUUAACUUUCUGUCUCAUUGAUCUGUCUAAUGUUGACAGUGGAGUGUUAAAGUCUCCCAUUAUUAUUGUGUGGGGGUCUAAGACUCUUUGUAGGUCUCUAAGGACUUGCUUUAUGAAUCUGGGUGCUCCUGUAUUGGGUGCAUAUAUAUUUAGGAUAGAUAGCUCUUCUUGUUGAAUUGAUCCCUUUACCAUUAUGUAAUGGCCUUCUUUGUCUCUUUUGAUCUUUGUUGGUUUAAAGUCUGUUUUAUCAGAGACUAGGAUUGCAACCCCUGCUUUUUUUGUUUUCCAUUUCCUUGGUAGAUCUUCCUCCAUCCCUUUAUUUUGAGCCUAUGUGUGUCUCUGCACUUGAGAUGGUUUUCCUGAAUACAGCACACUGAUGGGUCUUGACUCUUUAUCCAGUUUGCCAGUCUGUGUCUUUUAAUUGGAGCAUUUAGCCCAUUUACAUUUACGGUUAAUAUUGUUAAGUGUGAAUUUGAUCCUGUCAUUAUGAUGUUAGCUGGUUAUUUUGCUCGUUAAUUGAUGCAGUUUCUUCCUAGCCUCUCUGGUCUUUACAAUUUGGCAUGUUUUUGCAGUGGCUGGUACCAGUUGUUCCUUUCCAUGUUUAGUGCUUCCUUCAGGAGCUCUUUUAGGGCAGGCCUGGUGGUGACAAAAUCUCUCAGCAUUUGCUUGUCUGUAAAGGAUUUUAUUUCUCCUUCACUUAUGAAGCUUAGUUUGGCUGGAUAUGAAAUUCUGGGUUGAAAACUCUUUUCUUUAAGAAUGUUGAAUAUUGGCCUCCACUCUCUUCUGGCUUGUAGAGUUUCUGCCAGGAGAUCAGCUGUUAGCCUGAUGGGCUUCCCUUUGUGGGUAACCUGACCUUUCUCUCUGGCUUCCCUUAACAUUUUUUCCUUCAUUUCAACUUUGGUGAAUCUGACAAUUAUGUGUCUUGGAGUUGCUCUUCUCGAGGAGUAUCUUUGUGGCAUUCUCUGUAUUUCCUGAAUUUGAAUGUUGGCCUGCCUUGCUAGAUUGGGGAAGUUCUCCUGGAUAAUAUCCUGCAGACUGUUUUCCAACUUGGUUCCAUUCUCCCCGUCACUUUCAGGUACACCAAUCAGAUGUAGAUUUGGUCUUUUCACAUAGUCCCAUAUUUCUUGGAGGCUUUGUUCAUUUCUUUUUAUUCGUUUUCCUCUAAACUUCUCUUCUUGCUUCAUUUCAUUCGAUUUUCCAUCACUGAUACCCUUUCUUCCAGUUGAUCGAAUCAGCUACUGAGGCUUGUGCAUUCAUCACAUAGUUCUCGUGCCAUGGUUUUCAGCUCCUUCAGGUCCUUUAAGGACUUCUCUGCAUUGGUUAUUCUAGUUAGCCAUUUGUCUAAUUUUUUUUCAAGGUUUUUAACUUCUUUGCCGUGGGUUUGAACUUCCUCCUUUAGCUCAGAGUAGUUUGAUCGUCUGAAGCCUUCUUCUCUCAACUCGCCAAAGUCAUUCUCCGUCCAGCUUUGUUCUGUUGCUGGUGAGGAGCUGUGUUCCUUUGGAAGAGGAGAGGUGCUCUGAUUUUUAGUUUCCAGUUUUUCUGCUCUGUUUUUUCCCCAUCUUUGGGGUUUAAUCUACCUUUGGUCUUUGAUGAUGGUGACAUACAGAUGGGGUUUUGGUGUGGAUGUCCUUUCUGUUUGUUAGUUUUCCUUCUAACAGUCAGGACUCUCAGCUGCAGGUCUGUUGGAGUUUGCUGGAGGUCCACUCCAGACCUUGUUAGCCUGGAUAUCAGCAGCAGAGGCUGCAGAACAGCGGAUAUUGGUGAACAGCAAAUGCUACUGCCUGAUCGUUCCUCUGGAAGUUUUGUCUCAGAGGAGUACCCAGCCGUGUGAGGUGUCAGUCUGCCCCUACUCGGGGGUGCCUCCCAGUUAGGCUACUCGGGGGUCAGGGACCCACUUGAGGAGGCAGUCCGUCCUUUCUCAGAUCUCCAGCUGCGUCCUGGGAGAGCCACUACUGUCUUCCAAGCUGUCAGACAGGGACAUUUAAGUCUGCAGAGGUUUCUGCUGCCUUUUGUUUGGCUAUGCCCUGCCCCCAGAGGUGGAGUCUGCAGAGGCAGGCAGGCCUCCUUGAGCUGCGGUGGGCUCCACCCAGUUCGAGCUUCCCAGCUGCUUUGUUUACCUACUCAAGCCUCGGCAAUAGCGAGCGCCCCUGCCCCAGCCUCGCUGACGCCUUGCAGUUUGAUCUCAGACUGCUGUGCUAGCAGGGAGCAAGGCUCCGUGGGUGCAGGACCCUCCGAGCCAGGCACGGGAUAUAAUCUCCUGGUGUGCCAUUUGCUAAGACCAUUGGAAAAGCGCAGUAUUAGGGUGGGAGUGACCCAGUUUUCCAGGUGCCAUCUGUCACCCCUUUCUUUGACUAGGAAAGGGAAUUCCCUGACUCCUUGCACUUCCCAGGUGAGGGGAUGCCUCACCCUGCUUUGUCUCAUGCUGGGUGCCCUGCACCCACUGUCCUGCACCCACUUUCCGACACUCCCCAGUGAGAUGAACCGGUACCUCAGUUGGAAAUGCAGAAAUCACCCGUCUUCUGUGUCGCUCACGCUGGGAGCUGUAGACUGGAGCUGUUCCUAUUCAGCCAUCUUGGCUCCACCCCCUCAAUAAGUCUUAAAAAUUUUGAGAGAUCUAAGAAAGUAUUAUGUCAUAAUUUAAUUAGUAGCGUCUUCUGUUUGCUUCCUCAGUGAUAUAUAAAAUAAUGGUGCAUGUUAUAAUUAACAACAUAUUGCAUACAAUGAAAUACAGUAACAGUUCACACAUAUAGAACUUCUGAUCUGCCAUGGGUCAGUGCUCCAUUCAUGUUAACUCAUUCAAGAGCCAUUUUAUAGAUAAGGAAACUGAGGCACUUAGAAGAUACAACCACACAGCCAGAGAUUGGUAGAGCUAGAUGGGAUUCCAACCCAGGCAGUCAGCCCCAGGGUCUGUAUGAUAGCAUCUCACUGAGAGAGGUGCUACUUUGCAAUGUGUCAGAUAAUAACUGGUGAAUUGUUGACCAGAUUUGUAUUUUAACAAGCAUAACACUGAUUAAGAAAAAAAAAAGUGCAAAUAUGUUGUGAAAACGAGGCCAAUUGUGUGAUUGGUAAAAAAGCAGCAGAAGAAACUUGCAUCAACGCUAUUUAUCACCCCGAACAUUCCAGAAGGUGCUGCUUCCUUUACGUAUGGCCUCUCACACCAGAGUGUUUCUCAUUGUGUUCCAUGGAGUGUUGAAAAGAGUAGAAAUAAAAGUAGUUUGGGUACUUAUCUCUUCUCAUAACUUAUAUUGAAAUGGGGAGUGACUUUGAUGACUUCUACACAGAUGUUUGCAGCCUUUGUCAAGGGAAGAAGCAAUCUCAGUUGUCGAGGACUGAAUUCAGGCCUGAGUUAUUUUUGUUUGCCAAGUUUUAAGUAGACAUUAGGACAAAGGGUAAACCUGUGAAUUUAGUGUUUGACCUAAUAGGAAAGCCUAGCCCUCAAUACUGUAUUUAGCAGAUUUUUUAAAAAGGCUGAAUUAGUUCAAAUUUUAUUUUAUUUUAUUGCUUUUAUUGUAUUUUACAAGAUUGAUAGGAUGACAAUGAAAUUUGAGAUAUCAAUGGCUAUAAUUGAUUAUGGAGACUGAGUCUUUGGAGGCUUAAUUCAUUUUCAGGUGACAAAAGUUACAGCCUUGGUGAUAAAAUAGAACACAAAAAAAAUCAGUCAUCUUUGUUCAUGGAAAUAACUUUCAUCUUAGUUCAUGGAAAUAUCUUUUGAAAACUGUUUUCUAAGGAGGGGAAGAGAGAGAGAGAAAAAAAAAGAGAGAAAGAGCAACUGGGAUCAGAGACUGCUAAAUUCCACCAUCUGAUACCAGCUUCUUGCUGUCUAAGAGGAUGUUUAUGGAAUUAAUAUGGUUUGGCUGUAUCCCCACCCAAAUCCAUCUUAUCUUGAAUUGUAGCUCCCAUAAUCUCUAUAUGUUGUGGGAGGGACCCAGUGGGAGGUAAUUGAAUCAUGGUGGCAGGUCUUUCCCAUGCUAUUCUCGUGAUAGUGAAUACAUAUCACGUGAUCUGAUGGUUUUAUAAAGGGGAAUUCCCCUGCACACUCUCUCUUGCCUGCCACCAUAUAAAACGUGCCUUUACUCCUCCUUCACCUUACACCAUGAUUGUGAGGCCUCCCUAGGAACGUGGAACUGAGUCCAUUAAACCUCUUUUUCUUUAUAAAUAAGCCAGUCUUGGAUAUGUCUUUAUUAGCAGUGUGAGAAUGGUCUAAUACAGAAUGUCCAUGGAUAGGAGCCUCAAAGAGGUGCAUGGUACUUCCUCCCUGACAGUACUUUCUCCCCUGAGACUUCCUUGCUGUCUGCCAUCUGCCUUCUGCACCCAAAUGUUUAUGAGCAUCUGAAUUUUCCAGCUAUCAUGAAAAGAAAUUGCCCUGAAUCUGCUUGCAGUAUGCACUCACUUCAAUUCAGUACAAAUUUUCCAGAAUUUCUUGGUACUUUAGCAUUGCAUUCAUUGACUGAAAAAAAAGGUAGAAUUUUUUGAAAAAAUGUGUAAGUAAUUUAAAGCAUUAUUGUUGCAUUAAAUUCAAUGCAGCUACAUUACUGGGGAAUAUAUGAAAUCCAGGUGAAUCUUAAAGUGAAAACUAAGAUGAGCAGAUACAUUUCUAACUUCCUGGUCAGCUUCAGUCUAGACCUCCAAGCCCCCAGGGUUCAGUGAUCAUUUUUGCUGCCCCAAACGAUACUGGUGUGGAAAAGUUUGAGGCGCUCUAGGUUACAAAGAGUCCCUUGAGCCUCUUGGCCAUUGGUCAUUAAGCAGAAAAAUACACCCGGUUCCUUCUGUCCUUGGCUGCCUCCCAUUGCUGUUUACCCAUGACCAUGGUCUGCCCAUUGGCAGGCAGGGUCUUUUGGAGUUAAGGGCUUCCUUGGCAGAGUGUCCCCUGUAGUUUUAGACCAGGAGGUCCAUGGAGUGUGGUUUUCAAGGCUAAGUCAGAGACCACCCCAGAAUUUUGAGGCUGAAAUGGAGCCUGUUCCUUUGGCCAAUCUCACCUGGUUUUGGUAUAGGAGGGGUUAGGAAUGGGUAGUAGGUGGCUAGAGCUGUGAUGGUCUCCAUUUAGGAGCCUAGUGAAACCAACAGAGUCUAUACUUAUGUGUGUAUAGAUGAUGGAAUCUUUGACAUUCUUUGAAUAAGGUGUUCCCUUAGGUUUUUUUUUAAAAAAGAGAACAUAUUUCCAUGUAUUUUAACAUUUAUUCAUUCCACAAUAUUUGUUUUGUGUGUGCUGCACUAGGCCUGGGGAAUACAGCAGCAAACAAAACAGGUAAAAACCACUGCCCUCACAGAGCUUACAUGCUAAGGUGGAGAGAGAGCAAAUUUAAAAGACGAUUAAAUAUCUGGAAUGUCUGAUGGUGAUUGCUGCUAUAAAGAAAAAUGAGGGAAGAGGAGUGGGAAUAUGUGUGUCUGUGGGUGAGUUGCAAUUUUAAGUAAGAUGGUUAAAUGCCACUGAACAGGUGACAUUUGAGCAAACCAUCAGCAAACUGAUGCUGAGUCAAUUGCUUUGAAGUUGCAGCCUGCUGGACUGCCUGAAGUAUUGGAUAGAGGAUAUGAGAGAAGAUUCUCUCCAUUGCUUUCUUGGCUUUAACACUUCAGUGAAGCAAUCUGCCUUGUUGAGAGGCCCACAUGGCAAGGAACUGAGGGCAGCCCCUGACCAACAGCCAGCCAGGAACUGAAGAUGUCAGUCCAACUACCCCUGAUGAACUGAAUCUUGAACCACGUGAGCUUGGAGUGCAUCCUUCCCAGUUGUGCCAUGAGAUGAGAGCACGGCACCAGUCAACAGUGUGACUGUUCUUUGAGAAAGACACCAAAGCAGAGGGGACAGCUAAGCCAUAUCCAGAUUUUUCACCCACAAAACUGAGAUAAUACAUGUGUGCUUUUUAAACUGUUAAAUUUUGGGACAAUUUGUUAUGCCACAAUAUAUAAUUAAUACACAAGGUUUUUGGCAACUGGAAGAAUAAAAAUAGUAUUUAUGAUAUCA